rnacentral:rRNA from 1 species
UAGGGAAUAUUGGGCAAUGGAUGCAAGUCUGACCCAGCCAUGCCGCGUGCCGGAUGAAGGCCCUCAGGGUCGUAAACGGCUUUUAUACGGGAAGAACCCCGCCCAUGCGUGGGCGGCUGACGGUACCGUAGGAAUAAGCACCGGCUAACUCCGUGCCAGCAGCCGCGGUAAUACGGAGGGUGCGAGCGUUGUCCGGAUUUAUUGGGUUUAAAGGGUGCGCAGGUGGCCCGGUCAGUCAGUGGUGAAAUACGGCCGCUCAACGGUCGAACUGCCAUUGAUACUGCCGGGCUUGAGAGAAGUGGAGGCCGCCGGAACGGACGGUGUAGCGGUGAAAUGCAUAGAUAUCGUCCAGAACGCCGAUUGCGAAGGCAGGUGGCUACGCUUCAUCUGACACUGAGGCACGAAAGCGUGGGGAGCGAACA